GCCUAUAAUGAAAGGAAAGGAGGAAGACGAAGAUUUUGUGGUUUAAGAAUCAAUGAGACCAGAACUGAAACUUGUGCUUAUUUACUCAAUUUGUUGAUCGGAAUCGAUGUGGCCGAAGAUAUCUGGACAGUUAUCCCAUGAUCCUCUCUCGCGGGCUUCCCAGUACCCUCCUUUGUAUCGAUCAACGUCAACGAUGUCACUCAUGCUACUCCUACGGCGGCGAUUACGCGACUUUGACCAUCUCCGGUGAUAAGAAAUCCACCCUUGUUUCCCCGCCUCCCGAAUCCGAUUCAAAAGUUAGAGAGUUUGAAACCCAGAAUCCGAACCAUGGUGAGAGAUCCAAUAGUUACUGACAGGAUCCGGUGGCAAGAAAGUCAAGAUUAACAACCACCACACAGCGAUUGGUGUGGAAACAGAGAUGGAUUUUGUAAGAACUCGGGAAUCGGAUCUUGGAUGUUAGUCGUUUGGUGAAGACCACAAUGAAGAUGAUGGAGGUGCUAGUCCAGUAUAGAGAGCAGGUAAAUAUUUGCUUAGCUGUUACAAUUUAUUUUAAAGAUAUUUAAAAUGAUUUAUAAGAUGUUAAUAAAUAGCGACAUUAGUUGAUACAUAGUUUGUUAAAUGAUAUGAAAUUGGUUACCGGUCUAACAAGUCAAAUAACAUUGCACGUCAAAACUUAGCAGUUACAUUUUAUAUAAUAUAUGUUUCCAUUAACCGAUACAUGUUUAGUUAGCUGUUAUAAAUCAUGUUAUCGUUUCUUAGGGGGGGUUAGUGGGGAGAUAAUUUACACUGAUUUCAAAAGUCAAGAGGAUUUUAAUUCUGUAAAUAUUUUCAUUGAUUCUGACAAUAUGUCUUCCCAUAUUUAUAGAAUCCAUAUAUUUUUUUGGUUUGAUUGGCGAUGACUUAUUGUGAUUUAUAUUAACUUUUGUCUACUAUUGUUUAUCCAUUUUCCAUAUAAUAUAUUCAAAAUAAGGUAUGUUCAAUUGUGUAUAAAGAAAAUGAGCCUCCUAGAAUUGUUCUUUGCUUUUUAUUCAUCAUCAAAGCUCGCAAGAUAAUACAAGUCUCCGGUUCUCACUUUUCUUAUCUUUUUUUUUUAUGAUCUAUUUCUCUGUUUUUCAUUAUAUCAUGUCUUAAAAUGGUUUGAUUUUUAUAUAUGUUGCUUUCAAGUUUACGUUUGGUUUCAUUAUUUUAUUUGUUUAGACUAGUAGCAAGAACCUUGAUGUUUACCUGUUUGUUUGUGAUAAAUAUUUUUGUGUGUAUGUUCUUACUAAUAUUGAUUAACUUCACAUAAGAUUGCAAUGGGUGAUAAACAGGAAAAAAAAAUCAGUAUAACUUAUGGAAUUCAGAGGAAACCAAGGUUUUAAUGGAAUUCAAAAAAAUCAGUAGCUUACUCACAACUAUUUAUAACUCAUUUUCAUUUGUGAUGGUGCUAUUUUAUGGAUUUAUCAUUUUGAUGUGAUGUUGUCUGACUGUCGAAUCUCUUUCAUAAUAUUUCUAUGGAUAAAAAAUUCUGGGUUUAUCAUUUUGAUGUGUUGUAGUGUGACUGUGCACGGAAUCUAUUUCAUAGUUAUAUAUAUAUAUAUAUGCAUGUUUGAUAAAAGAGAUUAUAUGAAAUUGAUAAUGCUUCUCACGUAUCAUAUUUGCAUGUUUGAUAAAAAAAAUAUUGAUUUUGUCAUCUCAACUUUGGGAAUACAUGGGUUAACUCUAGUAUUUUGAAAGUUGUGAGUAGUGAGUUAAAAUGUAAUGAAUCAUUGUUUCAAUAACACCAUAGUUUAAUAGAAUUACAAAAUCUAAAAAUACUUAACUUUUUGAAUAACAAAAGAUUUAUAUAGAAUUGUAAAAUCACCACACCAAUAACACCAAACUUUUUAGAACUUUAAGAAUCAUGUUACCAAUAACACUAGAAUCUUUAAAUUCUUCAACUCUUUAAAAAUCAAUCUCCCACUAACCCACCCCCCCCCCCCACCCCCCCCCCCCCCCCCCCCUUAAGUUGGUUGUCAAGAUAUUAAGAAUACAUAUCAACACCUGAUUAUUAAUUUGUUUUUUUUAUAAGAAACAUUAGUUCUGUUUAUACUGGAUAUCGAUUCGGUCUAACCGUGUUUUUUCUGUCUUUAGUCUGGUACACUAUAAUUACCAUUCGAAAUUCAUAUUUAUUUUGUUUUGUUCACUUGAAAUGUGUGAGGUUUUAUUGUUUUUUGGUAGAAAACCCAAAAUUAUUAUUAUUUGUUUGGUUUCAUGUUAUAUGCAUUUUAGGCUGUUUUGAUGUCUAACCAAUGGUUUCAUUUAAAAAUUUCUAAACGAAUGAAAAAUCAAACUAAAUAUAAAUAAUAGUUGAAGAAAAAAUACAUGUAAUAUUAUUUUUGUUGUUUGUAAAAACAAAUUAAAAUGACAUUUUAAAAUUAUGUUCAUGUGUAUAAGAUUAUUUAAUAUUAUUUUUCUGUUUGAAAUUUCGUAUAUGUUAGACAUAGUAUAAAAUCUGUAUAUUUAUAAUCAUUGAAAUUUUUUAUUGAGUUUAAUAAUAUAAAAUUUAUUAAUAGUAUUUUUAUCUAAUUUAUAUUUAAUCGUUAUUUUAAUUUAAUUUUUCCCUAACUCUAAUAUAAUUUAUAUAGUAAAAUAAUUAGAUUUUGAAUGAAUACUGAUAUUUCAAUCUUUUUAUUUCUAUGUUAUUGUUUACAGAAAUGGAUAUUAAGAAAAUACACAAAUAAGCCCAUUUGUAGCUUUUAAACCCACCAUACAAUAAUAAAAAAAUGUGCCAUGAAUAUUCGAUUGCUUUUGUGUGAUAUCUGACCCAUUACAAAAAAAAUCAGUUUACUCAUACCGAUUAAGAAAAAAAACUUUACCUUCCAUUCGGCCAUUUACCGUCUGCAGACUGCAUCUAUUUGAAGAAAGAAAAUCAAUCACCGGCUUGUUAAGACAAACAUCUCGCCUCCUCUCCGAUCCGUCACAUCAGCAUCCUCUUAAUCGGUGAUGAGAUCAACCUUUACAACGAACCUCCUUCCACGAUCGAUUUUACUUUCGUGCAGUCAUGGAAGAAAAUCACUAACAUGGACCUACCGUAGACUCCGUCUUCAUUCAUGAAACCUAGUCCUUAUACUGUGUCUUCGAUUCUGACGCAACUAUUCGCCAACUUCGUCCUCCCUUAAGCAUCUGAAAUUUCCGAGAUAGAGGUCAGUUUCCCAUUUUAGUUUCUUAGCUUUGAUCAUCAUUUUGUUCUAUUAGUAUGCAUCUGGUUGUUUGAUUUCAUCUGUCAAUACACCAUCUAGAUCAAUGCUAUUUUAAACUGCGAAACUUAGAUUUCGAAAUGGAAGGUCUUCGAAGACUAAACCAUUCGAAUAACACCCUACAAAAUAAAAAUAAAAAAUAGAAAUUUAGAAGAAAAAAAUAAAGCAUACAACAUUUAUAACAUUUCGUUAUAUGAAAAGUAAAGAUGCAUUGGAAUCUAUUAGAACCAUCUCAAUUGUUAUAGUACCAGCAGAAGAAUACUGCUUCUACAGACGAAUGAUGUUUAACCCUAAUUUUUCGCAUUGACUUAAAUGGUUUUAAAUCAGACACAUAAGUUACCGCAGCCAUUAUAGGAGAAUGAGAUAAACUUGUUAAGGUUUCGGGUGUAGUGAAUAAAUAAAAUUAUGUGGAGCAGCGAGUUUAUAUAGGUUUACUAAUAAUUCAAUAAACGUGGUAUAUCGGUAUAAUAUCGUAUUAAAUGGCAAAUAUUUUUACCUUGCCAAUCACUCUUAGAUAUAUAAAUUGCCAUAACAAAAAAAUAUGAAACAUAUAUCAUUUAAUAUAAUUAAUUUACCUUGCCAAUCACUCAAAAAUAUAAAUAUUAUCCAAACCUUAAUGCUAGCCGGUUUAAUUCGGGAUGGGUACAAUUCAUUGAUAUCGGUUUAGAAUUCUUAACCAUAUUAUUAAAAUUCACGUGUAAUAAAAUUGUAGUAUUUCAUUCGUUUUAAAAUUCACGUGUACUACGUGACAGUGACUCGUAGAGCAUGCUUGACAAUGGGAGACUGUAGUAAAAACUCUUAUAGUUUGUAUACAACUUGUUUUCAUUUGUGUCAAAACUGUUAUCGUUUGUGAAAAAAAAAUGCUACAAUGGCAUUCAUUGAUUUGAGACUGUUCACGAUACAAAGGAAGAGUGUUUUGUAGAGAAUGGUUGACAGUGUGAGACUGAUGUAAAAACUGCAUUAAAAAAAUAGAUGAAGCUUUGUGAUAGUAAAAACCAGGCCAUUGUUUCAUUCUUCCUUAUAGACAAUGCCAUGGCUACUACAAUAGAUGAUGCUUGCAGUAAUAGUUCUCAUUGUUUGUGUAAAAAAUUUUGGGUUUGCAUUAUCUUUCUACUAUUAACAAUGCAAUAGUUUGCUUCUUCCUUAUAGACCGUUGAUGCUCGAAUGUUCUCCUCUGCUUCUCUUCUCCGCUCUGUUUUUUUUUCUAAUAAACGUUUCAGCCAAGUACGCUGCAAAGUAAGCAUAUCAUCAAGGCUCACGCUCUCUAACUGCUGAUCGAUUACAUUCUAGCUCAGUUAGAUCUUUAUAUCUUAUGUUAUUAAGCCAUUGUAACAUCCCAAAGAGGAAACUGAGAGGUAUGAUUGAUCAUCUCUCGUCACUCGGCAAAAGAGUUACACUGGCUUCAACGAUCUCCCUAUUAUCCCACAUCAGAAAAGCAAUGAUACUCUCGAACCGGACACAUGUUCCCGCCGUGACCCAAACAUUGUGUACGCUAUGACUGAGUGUCUUGUAAAGAAUUGCCCACGCUACAACGUGAGAGUGACGUGUAUAGAAUGCUUGACAAUGUGAGACUGUUGUAUAAGCUAUUAUAGCUUGUGUACAUAGAUCGUUUGUGUGAAAACUGUUAUCGUUUUAUCUUCAAGUAUAUCAUGAUUCAAACUUGAUAGUUAUCACAAAAUGUGCUUAUAAAUAGUUGGCUUUUA